rnacentral:rRNA from 1 species
UACAGAGGGUGCAAGCGUUGUUCGGAAUCAUUGGGCGUAAAGGGCGUGUAGGCGGUCUGUUAAGUCAUGUGUGAAAUCCCUCGGCUCAACCGGGGAACGACGCAUGAAACUGACAAGCUAGAGUACCAAAGAGGGGGGUGGAAUUCCCGGUGUAGCGGUGAAAUGCGUAGAGAUCCGGAGGAACACCAGUGGCGAAGGCGACACGCUGGGCCGUACCUGACGCUAAAGCGCGACAGCAUGGGGAGCAAACGGG